rnacentral:rRNA from 1 species
GACGAACGCUGGCGGCGUGCUUAACACAUGCAAGUCGAACGGAAAGGCCCUGCUUUUGUGGGGUGCUCGAGUGGCGAACGGGUGAGUAACACGUGAGUAACCUGCCCUUGACUUUGGGAUAACUUCAGGAAACUGGGGCUAAUACCGGAUAGGAGCUCCUGCUGCAUGGUGGGGGUUGGAAAGUUUCGGCGGUUGGGGAUGGACUCGCGGCUUAUCAGCUUGUUGGUGGGGUAGUGGCUUACCAAGGCUUUGACGGGUAGCCGGCCUGAGAGGGUGACCGGCCACAUUGGGCCUGAGAUACGGCCCAGACUCCUACGGGAGGCAGCAGUGGGGAAUAUUGCACAAUGGGCGGAGGCCUGAUGCAGCAACGCCGCGUGCGGGAUGACGGCCUUCGGGUUGUAAACCGCUUUCGCCUGUGACGAAGCGUGAGUGACGGUAAUGGGUAAAGAAGCACCGGCUAACUACGUG